UGGGGAAUAUUGCACAAUGGGCGGAAGCCUGAUGCAGCGACCCCGCGUGGGGGAUGAAGGCCUUCGGAUUGUAAACUCCUUUCGACAGGGACGAAGCGUAAGUGACGGUACCUGUAUAAGAGGCACCGGCUAACUCCGUGCCAGCAGCCGCGNUAAUACGGAGGGUGCGAGCGUUAAUCGGAAUAACUGGGCGUAAAGGGCACGCAGGCGGACUUUUAAGUGAGGUGUGAAAUCCCCGGGCUUAACCUGGGANUUGCAUUUCAGACUGGGGGUCUAGAGUACUUUAGGGAGGGGUAGAAUUCCACGUGUAGCGUUGAAAUGCGUAGAGAUGUGGAGAAAUACCGAAGGCGAAGCCAGCCCCUUGGGAUUGUACUGACGCUCAUGUGCGAANGCUNGGGGGAGCAAACAGAAUUAGAUACCCUGUAAGUCAACGCUGUAAACGCUGUCGAUUUGNGGAUUGGGCCUUGAGCUUGGNGCCCGAAGCUAACGUGAUAAAUCGACCGCCUGGGNGUACGGCCGCAAGNUUA
rnacentral:rRNA from 1 species